AGUUGAUCCUGGCUCAGAGCGAACGCUGGCGGCAGGCCUAACACAUGCAAGUCGAACGGAUCCUUCGGGAUUAGUGGCGGACGGGUGAGUAACACGUGGGAACGUGCCCUUUGGUUCGGAACAACUCAGGGAAACUUGAGCUAAUACCGGAUGUGCCCUUCGGGGGGAAAAGAUUUUAUCGCCAUUGGAGCGGCCCGCGUCUGAUUAGCUAGUUGGUGAGGUAAAGGCUCACCAAGGCGACGAUCAGUAGCUGGUCUGAGAGGAUGAUCAGCCACAUUGGGACUGAGACACGGCCCAAACUCCUACGGGAGGCAGCAGUGGGGAAUCUUGCGCAAUGGGCGAAAGCCUGACGCAGCCAUGCCGCGUGAAUGAUGAAGGUCUUAGGAUUGUAAAAUUCUUUCACCGGGGACGAUAAUGACGGUACCCGGAGAAGAAGCCCCGGCUAACUUCGUG
rnacentral:rRNA from 1 species